rnacentral:rRNA from 1 species
GACGAACGCUGGCGGCGUGCUUAACACAUGCAAGUCGAACGGAAAGGCCCUGCUUUUGUGGGGUGCUCGAGUGGCGAACGGGUGAGUAACACGUGAGUAACCUGCCCUUGACUUUGGGAUAACUUCAGGAAACUGGGGCUAAUACCGGAUAGGAGCUCCUGCUGCAUGGUGGGGGUUGGAAAGUUUCGGCGGUUGGGGAUGGACUCGCGGCUUAUCAGCUUGUUGGUGGGGUAGUGGCUUACCAAGGCUUUGACGGGUAGCCGGCCUGAGAGGGUGACCGGCGACAUUGGGACUGAGAUACGGCCCAGACUCCUACGGGAGGCAGCAGUGGGGAGUAUUGCAGAGUGGGCGGACGCGUGAUGCAGAAACGCCGCGUGCGGGAUGACGGCCUUCGGGUUGUAAACCGCUUUCGCCUGUAACGAAGCGUGAGUGACGGUAAUGGGUAAAGAAGCACCGGCUAACUACGUG